UGUGAGCUCGAUGAGUAGGGCGGGACACGUGGUAUCCUGUCUGAAUAUGGGGGGACCAUCCUCCAAGGCUAAAUACUCCUGACUGACCGAUAGUGAACCAGUACCGUGAGGGAAAGGCGAAAAGAACCCCGGCGAGGGGAGUGAAAAAGAACCUGAAACCGUGUACGUACAAGCAGUGGGAGCACGCUUAGGCGUGUGACUGCGUACCUUUUGUAUAAUGGGUCAGCGACUUAUAUUCUGUAGCAAGGUUAACCGAAUAGGGGAGCCGAAGGGAAACCGAGUCUUAACUGGGCGUUAAGUUGCAGGGUAUAGACCCGAAACCCGGUGAUCUAGCCAUGGGCAGGUUGAAGGUUGGGUAACACUAACUGGAGGACCGAACCGACUAAUGUUGAAAAAUUAGCGGAUGACUUGUGGCUGGGGGUGAAAGGCCAAUCAAACCGGGAGAUAGCUGGUUCUCCCCGAAAGCUAUUUAGGUAGCGCCUCGUGAAUUCAUCUCCGGGGGUAGAGCACUGUUUCGGCAAGGGGGUCAUCCCGACUUACCAACCCGAUGCAAACUGCGAAUACCGGAGAAUGUUAUCACGGGAGACACACGGCGGGUGCUAACGUCCGUCGUGAAGAGGGAAACAACCCAGACCGCCAGCUAAGGUCCCAAAGUCAUGGUUAAGUGGGAAACGAUGUGGGAAGGCCCAGACAGCCAGGAUGUUGGCUUAGAAGCAGCCAUCAUUUAAAGAAAGCGUAAUAGCUCACUGGUCGAGUCGGCCUGCGCGGAAGAUGUAACGGGGCUAAACCAUGCACCGAAGCUGCGGCAGCGACGCUUAUGCGUUGUUGGGUAGGGGAGCGUUCUGUAAGCCUGUGAAGGUGUGCUGUGAGGCAUGCUGGAGGUAUCAGAAGUGCGAAUGCUGACAUAAGUAACGAUAAAGCGGGUGAAAAGCCCGCUCGCCGGAAGACCAAGGGUUCCUGUCCAACGUUAAUCGGGGCAGGGUGAGUCGACCCCUAAGGCGAGGCCGAAAGGCGUAGUCGAUGGGAAACAGGUUAAUAUUCCUGUACUUGGUGUUACUGCGAAGGGGGGACGGAGAAGGCUAUGUUGGCCGGGCGACGGUUGUCCCGGUUUAAGCGUGUAGGCUGGUUUUCCAGGCAAAUCCGGAAAAUCAAGGCUGAGGCGUGAUGACGAGGCACUACGGUGCUGAAGCAACAAAUGCCCUGCUUCCAGGAAAAGCCUCUAAGCAUCAGGUAACAUCAAAUCGUACCCCAAACCGACACAGGUGGUCAGGUAGAGAAUACCAAGGCGCUUGAGAGAACUCGGGUGAAGGAACUAGGCAAAAUGGUGCCGUAACUUCGGGAGAAGGCACGCUGAUAUGUAGGUGAAG
rnacentral:rRNA from 1 species